rnacentral:rRNA from 1 species
GACGAGCGCUGGCGGCGUGCUUAACACAUGCAAGUCGAACGGAAAGGCCCUGCUUUUGUGGGGUGCUCGAGUGGCGAACGGGUGAGUAACACGUGAGUAACCUGCCCUUGACUUUGGGAUAACUUCAGGAAACUGGGGCUAAUACCGGAUAGGAGCUCCUGCUGCAUGGUGGGGGUUGGAAAGUUUCGGCGGUUGGGGAUGGACUCGCGACUUAUCAGCUUGUUGGUGGGGUAGUGGCUUACCAAGGCUUUGACGGGUAGCCGGCCUGAGAGGGUGACCGGCCACAUUGGGACUGAGAUACGGCCCAGACUCCUACGGGAGGCAGCAGUGGGGAAUAUUGCACAAUGGGCGGAAGCCUGAUGCAGCAACGCCGCGUGCGGGAUGACGGCCUUCGGGUUGUAAACCGCUUUCGCCUGUGACGAAGCGUGGGUGACGGUAAUGGGUAAAGAAGCACCGGCUAACUACGUG